AGGGGGAGGUCGGAUCCUGGGCUGUGUCCCAGUCGCCCAGUGCUCCCUGGCCUGAGCUUUUGGAUUCGGGCUCCAGGCGCGCAGCCCCCU
rnacentral:pre_miRNA from 1 species